rnacentral:tRNA from 1 species
GCGAACAUGGCGGAAUUGGUAGACGCACCUGGCUUAGAACCAGACGCCCAAAAGCAUGGGGGUUCGAGUCCCUCUGUUCGCA